CAGUGCAUUGCAGCCGGCGCUUCCUCUGCUGAAUGGAAUGAAAGCAUGUCCGGAUCGCAUCGUGGCUCUGACACCGAGUGAGCUCUGCAUCUUUAAAACAGAAAAAAAACCCGGCAAAGAAAAACACACAAGCAGCUCAGUCAUAACUGUGGGAUGAUAAGGACUACCUCUUUUUACUUUUGGAGAGAGCCAAGCCGUUAGGAGAGCAUUCAGCAUCAGCUGUUCAACACUGGUCUCUCAUUGCUGGAAGUCGGGGCUGAAUCAGUCACAUGACAGAACUGGAGGCAGAGAUCUAGAGAAAAGGCACAGCAUUUCGGCUUGCACCGCCAUACUGUAUUUUGAGCCAUAUCACAUUUUUAUUGCAACAUUUUACUCCCGCUCGGUGAGUACAUUUCCAAUGGCUUUUUUGUAAGCAUUUUUUGUCUUUUUAAUUGCCCCCUUUUUUAUUUUUCCUCCUUUUGCUGGUGUUUGAAUUGAGCAUUGACAUGGUGGUUUUGAGCGUUUUUCACAUGCAGGCUUCAAGUUUUUAGCAUGCAGUUAUUCUGAUCGAGAGUGCCAAGAGGGUAAUCGGUGCCUUAUCGGUCUUGAGAAAGCCUUGACUUGCUUGCAGUUUUGUUUCGAGGGUCGAAACCAAGCAGCUUUUGUCAGUAUUGAGAUUUUUCAAAACAAUUUAUUGGUGGGUUUUGAAACAUUUUUAUUUUUUUGUUUCUGUCGACUUUUGCUGUUGCUAUGCUUUGGUUUGCAUUUUGCAGUGUUGUUUGUUGCCUUCGAGUUUUGUGAUUUUGAUGUGUCGGUGAAUCUCACCGAUCCAAAAAAAAAGAAAGACACCCUUUGCUUUUACUUUGUUCCUCUUUUCUUUAUAAAAAGGAGUCAUUUUUAAAGCCCCAUGACGUUUUAACGUGCUACUUUUCUUGCAGCUGAGCUCACAGAUGAUGCUGGGUGGACGAGGGGAGUUUUGAUUCUUGGGGGAGUUCAAUGCGUUUUUGUUUUCUGUAUCAACGAGGAUGAACAGACAUUUUCCCUUUUGCAGGUAUAUAUAUAUAAUAUGAGUGGAUAAGUGACACGUUUCUGUAUUUACAAUAAAGACUGAGGUGACAGAAAUAUG